rnacentral:rRNA from 1 species
GACGAACGCUGGCGGCGUGCUUAACACAUGCAAGUCGAACGGAAAGGCCCUGCUUUUGUGGGUUGCUCGAGUGGCGAACGGGUGAGUAACACGUGAGUAACCUGCCCUUGACUUUGGGAUAACUUCAGGAAACUGGGGCUAAUACCGGAUAGGAGCUCCUGCUGCAUUGUGGGGGUUGGAAUGUUUCGGCGGUUGGGGAUGGGCUCGCGGCUUACCAGCUUGUUGGGGGGGUAGUGGCUUACCAAGGCUUUGACGGGUAGCCGGCCUGGGGGGGUGACCGGCCACAUUGGGUCCUAGGUGAGGCCGCAGAGGCCAAGGGAGGACAGAGGGGGGAAGAUUGGAAAAGGGGCGGAAGGCUGGGGACGGAAGCCCGCGGGGGGGGAGGCCGUCUUGGGGGUGAAAACCGCUUUCGCCUGUGACGAAGCGUGAGAGACGGUAAUGGGUAAAGAAGCACCGGAUAACUACG